rnacentral:ncRNA from 1 species
CAACCUCAACUCAUAUGGGACUACCCCCUGAAUUUAAGCAUAUUAAUUAGGGGAGGAAAAGAAACUAACCAGGAUUUUCUUAGUAGCGGCGAGCGAAAAGAAAUCAGUUCAGCACUAAGUCACUUUGUCUAUAUGGCAAACGUGAGAUGCAGUGUAUGGAGCGUCAAUAUUCUAGUAUGAGAAAUUAACGAUUUAAGUCCUUCUUAAAUGAGGCCAUUUACCCAUAGAGGGUGCCAGGCCCGUAUAACGUUAAUGAUUACUAGAUGAUGUUUCCAAAGAGUCGUGUUGCUUGAUAGUGCAGCACUAAGUGGGUGGUAAACUCCAUCUAAAACUAAAUAUAACCAUGAGACCGAUAGUAAACAAGUACCGUGAGGGAAAGUUGAAAAGAACUCUGAAUAGAGAGUUAAACAGUACGUGAAACUGCUUAGAGGUUAAGCCCGAUGAACCUGAAUAUCCGUUAUGGAAAAUUCAUCAUUAAAGUUGUAAUAUUUUAACAAUAUUAUAAUAAUAGUGUGCAUUUUUUCCAUAUAAGGACAUUGUAAUCUAUUAGCAUAUAACAAAUUUAUCAUAAAAUAUGACUUAUAGUUUAUUCAAAUUAUUAUGCUUGCAUUUUAACAUAGAAUAAAUGUCAUUAAUUUGAUAAAGUGUUGAUAAAUUAAAAUUAAUACAGUGCGUUAAUUUUUCGAAAUUAUAUAAUGGCAUAAUUAUC